GUCCACGCCGUAAACGGUGGGUACUAGGUGUGGGUUUCCUUCCACGGGAUCCGUGCCGUAGCUAACGCAUUAAGUACCCCGCCUGGGGAGUACGGCCGCAAGGCUAAAACUCAAAGGAAUUGACGGGGGCCCGCACAAGCGGCGGAGCAUGUGGAUUAAUUCGAUGCAACGCGAAGAACCUUACCUGGGUUUGACAUAUAGAGGAUCGCCGGAGAGAUUCGGUUUGCCUUGUGCCUUCUAUACAGGUGGUGCAUGGCU
rnacentral:rRNA from 1 species